GCGCCAUACCAAUUGGUGAGCAUUUCUAUUUAUUUAUUUUUCAUUUAAAGGAUGAUACUUCUCCUGUUAUCUUGAGAAUGCUCUGGAUGAAAUUACAUUGAUGUUCUAACUUUCCUCUCUUCAGUUCAUAAUUCUGCUGGGCCAAAAAUGCAGAAGACUGGCAGCAAACGGGGUUUCUUGCCCAGAAUGUAGAAGAGUAUGCAGAUGUCAUCCUCAAAGUUUGAAGGAUGCCAGAAACUGAGAGGCUCAAGAUGGCUGCAGCUGCAAGGAAACGUGCAGGCCGUUUUUCCUAGCAAAGAUUUUUUGAAGAUUUCAAAGCUGCAAUUCGACCUAUUAAACCAUGUUUCCAGAUGAUGGAUUAGCACAGUUAAUAGCUAUUGAAAAUUUCUAACUACAGAACAGAGGAGCAUAGCUAGUAGUGGUAAAUGAACUAUAAUUUACAGCCACAGCCAUUUCAAGUUAACAAUGGCAUGUUGCACCAACACUGAAAAAUCUUUGGAUUGAAAAUUUUCUAGCAUGUGACAUGCUCGCUGGAUGAAUGGCAUCUUCUGAAGGAACAUGUAGUUCCCAGCCUGAUUUUUUUCAGUUUGUCAAGACACAAGAUUUUUCAGCUUAUGAAUUUGAGCUACAAUUCUGAAGUGUUUUUAUAUCAUCACUUUACUUUGCUUUUCAUGGAUAAUUUCUCAGCUCUUUUAGUGCUUCUGGCAACAGUUCUUAUAUCUUACAAGAAAAUGCAACUUAACAUGGCUCGGGUUCUGU